UAAGAACAGAUGCAGAUAAAAUAAAUGUUACAAUUAAAGACCGUCAGCGAAGUCAUAUAAUAACCACACAUUAAGGUCUACAUAACGCUUUAGAAAACUCAUUCGCAUAAUGGGAGUGAUUUAAAGAUGCAAGUAAAAGUUCGUGAGUUACGAUAUUAUAAUAAAAUUUUGCGCUAUAAGUAAUAUUUGACAAUUAAAUAAAUGUUUUGAAAUAUGUA